UAGGGAAUCUUCGGCAAUGGGGGGAACCCUGACCGAGCAACGCCGCGUGAGUGAAGAAGGUUUUCGGAUCGUAAAGCUCUGUUGUUAAGGAAGAACGAGUGUGAGAAUGGAAAGUUCAUGCUGUGACGGUACUUAACCAGAAAGGGACGGCUAACUACGUGCCAGCAGCCGCGGUAAUACGUAGGUCCCGAGCGUUGUCCGGAUUUAUUGGGCGUAAAGCGAGCGCAGGCGGUUAGAAAAGUCUGAAGUGAAAGGCAGUGGCUCAACCAUUGUAGGCUUUGGAAACUGUUUAAAUUGAGUGCAGAAGGGGAGAGUGGAAUUCCAUGUGUAGCGGUGAAAUGCGUAGAUAUAUGGAGGAACACCGGUGGCGAAAGCGGCUCUCUGGUCUGUAACUGACGCUGAGGCUCGAAAGCGUGGGGAGCGAACAGG
rnacentral:rRNA from 2 species